rnacentral:lncRNA from 1 species
GCUUUUGCGAGGAAAUGUGCCAUCACAUACGCAGAAUUCAGGCAUCAAACCAAAAGGCUUCUCUGUGGACUAAUGGAGCUGAAAGCUGAUGAUGAUGAUAGAGAAAAUAUCAUGCAAACAUAAUUUGCCUUCUGUGAAAACAGAUGCAGAGAAAAAAAAGGCUCAAAGAAGAACGAAUGACUUGCUUUGGAGACAUCUGAGAAGUCCACUGAAAGAGCUAAUGAUGGGAUCAAGGGGCAUUUGUAUAUGAAUUCAACCGUAUUAUAUCAAGAAAGGCUGCUUUAGCAACAGAUGCUUUGAGAUCACCACAAUAUGCUUGCACUGAACUUCUAGCCACAGGGUUACAUGUGUGUUUUGGACUGGUUAGGAGAUGGCAAACAGCAGAGUGGCCAGACCAGCUCCAGCCCGAAAAGGGUCACGACCAGACACCAAGUGCUCCUGUCUCGAUGUCGUCGGGCGGCAUGUGCAAGAUGUAGAAUGGAACAGGUGUGGUGCCCAUAGGUCAUUUUCAUACCAUAUGCACUCAGGUAAGGCCAUGGGGCAUGAUGUUACCAAAAGUGUCACAUCCCAACACUUUACUCUCUCUUUCUGUCUCUAUAACACACACAAACAGACUGCAUUUUCAAUAUUUGCUUUAUUCACUCAGGUAAGGCCAUGGGGCAUGAUGUUACCAAAAGUGUCACAUCCCAACACUUUACUCUCUCUUUCUGUCUCUAUAACACACACAAACAGACUGCAUUUUCAAUAUUUGCUUUAUUAUUAUUAUUAUUAUUAUUAUUAUUAUUAUAUUUUUUAUUCAUUAUUCAUAAAUAUAAUAAUAAGCACAAUAAUUACAACCAUUAUCAUUAAAAUUAAAUAUAAAAAUAAUAAGUAUUAUUAUUAUUGUUAUUAAAAAUAACAAAAUGUUUUUUAUUAUCGAUAUUGUCAUUUCAGAUAAGACAGAGAUAUUACUUAUUGGACCAGAAAACAUUACACAGAAUCUCGUAGAUUACAAUUUGCAACUAGACGGAUGUACUGUUACUUCCUCUACUGUAAAAAAUCUGGGUGUUAUAUUAGACAGUAACUUGUCUUUUGAAAAUCAUAUUUCCCAUGUUACAAAAACAGCAUUCUUCCAUCUUAGAAACAUUGCCAAGCUACGAAACAUGUUACCUGUUCCUGAUGCAGAAAAGCUAGUUCAUGCAUUCAUGACCUCUAGACUGGACUAUUGUAAUGCACUGCUAGGUGGUUGUCCUGCAUCCUCAAUAAACAAGCUACAGGUAGUCCAAAAUGCAGCGGCUAGAGUCCUUACCAGGUCAAGAAAUAUGAUCAUAUUACCCCAAUACUACAGUCUACUGCACUGGCUACCUAUUAAGUUCCGUAUCAGUUACAAAAUAUUAUUACUUACUUAUAAGGCCCUUAAUGGCUUAGCUCCUGCGUUAUAAAUUAGGAAAUUGUUUCCUGGAAAAUGUGCACUCCACGGAAUGACAAUGUGCAAAUGUGUUCGUUCAUUUUAAGUGAGGUCACACUUUACACAGUCUCACAUUCACACUUCUUUGUAUCUUGCAGGGCGGCAUGUGCAAGAUGUAGAAUGGAACAGGUGUGGUGCCCAUAGGUCAUUUUCAUACCAUAUGCACUCAGGUAAGGCCAUGGGGCAUGAUGUUACCAAAAGUGUCACAUCCCAACACUUUACUCUCUCUUUCUGUCUCUAUAACACACACAAACAGACUGCAUUUUCAAUAUUUGCUUUAUUAUUAUUAUUAUUAUUAUUAUUAUUAUUAUUUUUUUAUUCAUUAUUCAUAAAUAUAAUAAUAAGCACAAUAAUUACAACCAUUAUCAUUAAAAUUAAAUAUAAAAAUAAUAAGUAUUAUUAUUAUUGUUAUUAAAAAUAACAAAAUAGUUUUUAUUAUUCG